rnacentral:rRNA from 1 species
CCUUCGGGUCUAGUGGCGCACGGGUGCGUAACGCGUGGGAAUCUGCCCUUAGGUUCGGAAUAACUCAGGGAAACUUGAGCUAAUACCGGAUAAUGACUUCGGUCCAAAGAUUUAUCGCCUAGGGAUGAGCCCGCGUCGGAUUAGCUAGUUGGUGAGGUAAAGGCUCACCAAGGCGACGAUCCGUAGCUGGUCUGAGAGGAUGAUCAGCCACACUGGGACUGAGACACGGCCCAGACUCCUACGGGAGGCAGCAGUGGGGAAUAUUGGACAAUGGGCGCAAGCCUGAUCCAGCAAUGCCGCGUGAGUGAUGAAGGCCUUAGGGUUGUAAAGCUCUUUUACCCGGGAUGAUAAUGACAGUACCGGGAGAAUAAGCCCCGGCUAACUCCGUGCCAGCAGCGGC